UUUCCUGCUGCUGCGCCUUCAAACUUUCUUUGUGUGGAGAUGAGAAGAAAUGGUAUUCACCAAGAGCUCAGCCUAGUGAGGGGACUAAGCCUGGGAUGAUGCUAUAAACGGAAAUCCCUGCACUUGGGAGGUAAAGGUAGGGAACCCACAACAGACCAAAGCAUGGAUGCUACCCAAGCCCAACAUGGUGAACCGAUGAACCUCCAAAGCACACCCCAGACACGGGUGACAUCUCACAGAAGCUGGGAACCUGAGCACAAGACACAGCUUCUGUGAGCUCAGCAGGUUGUUUCAGAAGUUUAGUCCAUUAUCAAGACGGCACGGAGCAUGAAGGCACACAGGCAGACGCGAUGCUGGAGAAGGACCCGAGAGCUCUGUAUCCGGAUCCAUGGACAGCAGGGGAGAUACUGCGACCUGGAGGAUGAUGUUAAAGCGGAGAUGCCUUGACCCAGCCUUGGAAGUCAGGAUGCCUGCUUCCCAUGUGCGGGGACAGAGGUGUAGAAAAGCAUUUGCCCAAUAUCAAGAUGACGAAGAAAAGGGAAAGGCCAACGUGGUCAACUCUGGGGCACUUCACCGACUAUUUCUACCAGCCUUAGCUGCAGAAACCUCGUCCCAAGAAGAGCUUUGAAUUAGCCAUAUCCGGACCCCCGAGCCCCGUCUAACAUUUGGCUGUGGGACAGGGCACCUGCUUCCAUCAGUUGCUGGAUGAAGUCUCUCUGGUCUCUUUGAGGACAAUGACGCCAGGCUCUGGUCCCAGCACAUGCUGCAGGGAUGACAAACUGUAGGUCAAGGGUCUUGUGGCUGGGUUCGUGUCCCAGUCCCUCCACUUGAGGCCUUGGUUGGUUACAGAGGAAGCCGGUUCUAGCUCUGUGUCCCCCAUCGCUGGGAAUCUUCUCUAGUGUCACCCUUGUAGAUUCUAUGGGGGUUCCAUUGCACUAGGUUUCUACCUCACUCCAGAAAUGCCCCCCCAAUUCCAGUCAUCCUUCCCACUACUCCCUCCCUCCCUUCCCCAGCCUGACCCCUCCUGUUCCCAUCCUCAGUCCACCCUGAAGUCUGUUUCCUUUUCCCAGGAAGAUCCUUGCAUCCCCUCCCCCCACUACUAAGCCCUCCUCGUUUAGUUUCUCUAUCUGUGGAUUGUAGCACGAUGGUCCUUUACAGAUAAAAUCCACUUGUGAGUGAGGACAUUCCGUGUCUGUGUUUCCCACCAGGGACUCGUGCUUAAAAAAAGACGAGUGUGAGCGUGUCUAAUUUAAUAACGGGAUGCUACACUCUACAUUUAAUGAAGCAUAUUCAUUAUUGGCCAUCUCUGCACCUGGGUCACCAGUCCAUCAAUAUCUUCAUUCACAGUUUCCUGUCA